rnacentral:lncRNA from 1 species
AGUCACGCACAUUAGUCAAACUAAGUAAGAAGGUCUUGACCCAAUUUAAUUAAGAAUUAAAUUGUGGAUCAUUUGGAAUUUGGUUCUGUCUAUGUUCAGCUAGCACUGAACAUGAGGUACAUGCUAAAUUUCAUGGAUGAACAACUAAUUAAGUCUGUAUUUCGGGUCAAUCAAGUUUCAAUUAAUGUAAUGGAACUUGAUCAGGACUCAAUUGUUGAAAUUGGAUUUGAUUGGGUCUAAAUUAGUGUAAUUGGGCUCGAUCAUGAUUUAAGUGGGAUUUAA